UACGCUUUGUAAGAAAAUAGUAGUAAUUUAGUGAUGAUCCCUAAACUAAACAGUGCGUCGUUUGCCUCUGACUGUACAGCAACAGUCCAGCAGCAAAAGCGAGUCUUUAGACUUGAGCUUGCAGCGACAAUCUGAUCGAUCAUGACGACUCACCAGUUUUUUGUGGACAUGACAUGUGAGGGAUGCUCUGGGGCUGUCACUCGAGUGCUUAAAAAGCUGGAUGUCAAGUUUGACAUUGAUCUGCCCAACAAGAAGGUCUUCAUCGAGUCAGACAAAGACACGGACGUCCUUCUGGAAACACU